rnacentral:rRNA from 1 species
CCUACGGGGGGCAGCAGUAGGGAAUAUUGCUCAAUGGGCGAAAGCCUGAAGCAGCAACGCCGCGUGGGGGAUGAAGGUUUUAGGAUUGUAAACCCCUUUUGUUAGGGAAGAUUAUGAGGGUAUGUAACGACUAAGGACUGGGUAACUCCGGGCCAGCAGCCGCGGUAAUACGGCGGGUGCAAGCGUUACUCGGAAUUAAUGGGCGUAAAGAGUGCGUAGGCGGGGUAAUAAGUCAGAUGUGAAAUCCUGGGGCUAAACUACAGAACUGCAUUUGAAACUGGUACUCUGGAGUGUGGGAGAGGUAGGUGGAAUUCUUGGUGUAGGGGUGAAAUGCGUAGAGAUCGAGAGGAAUACUGAUUGCGAAGGCGACCUGCUGGACCAUUACUGACGCUGAUGCACGAAAGCGUGGGGAGCAAACAGGAUUAGAUACCCGAGUAGUC